rnacentral:rRNA from 1 species
AUGCACACACACACCCACGCCCAACCCACGCACACCCACACCCACGUUGGAUCCCAUCUCUCUCGUUUUCCUCGAUCCCCUUUCUCCACCCCACGCCGCCGCCAGAUUCCGUCGAUCCCCGUCGUUCCCCACCGCCCAGCUCUCCUCCCCGAGGUCACCUUUCCCCACUCACCAUCUCCACCGACUGGUUUCUCUCCUCGCCCAGGAGAGCCACGCCCAGGCACUGGUGGUGGUGCACCGCGAGGAGGCCCCAGCGGCGUCGAGCUGCUGUUGCGGCGGGCUGUUGCUGCGGGCACAGCAACGCCGGCGAGGUCGGGAAGGUCGCAGCCCUUCAAGAUUCUCAAUGGCGGCGUCUCGGCGCUGAUGGCGGAGUCGACGGCGAGCAUCGGCGGGUACAUGGCGUCGGGGUACCGGAGGGUGGCCGGCGUGCAACUCUCCAUCAACCACCUCAAGCCCGCCCGCAUCGGCGACCGCAUCAAGACCAAGGCGAACCCCAUCCAGGUCGGCCGCAAUGUCCAGGCAGAGGUCGAGGGACGAGGUGUCUCCAAGCAGAGGCCGGUCUUCUGCAACCUGCAACUACGAUCUUGGACGGCCGGCGCGCGCGGGGUUGCAGCCUGCAGUCCGUAUGCAGUAAAUAUUAAAAUCCCCACAUGUCGGGAUGCUGCUCCUGCGCCGAGCUACUGCUGUUGCGGGCACAACAAUGAGCCGGGGAGCAGCUGCGUCAGGCUGCUGCUGCUGCGGGCGCGACGUCUCUCCUUUCCCCACCUCCGUUGCCGUUUUAAUUUUGGUUGUGGUGGUUGCAUCACCGGCGCGGUCGCAAAUCAGUAUGUAGUGUGCUUGUGGAGUUGGGUCUGGACUGCAGUGUCCAUCCAGUAG